AUGGGAACGCGAAGAACCUUACCUACUCUUGACAUCCAGAGAACUUAGCAGAGAUGCUUUGGUGCCUUCGGGAACUCUGAGACAGGUGCUGCAUGGCUGUCGUCAGCUCGUGUUGUGAAAUGUUGGGUUAAGUCCCGCAACGAGCGCAACCCUUAUCCUUUGUUGCCAGCGGUCCGGCCGGGAACUCAAAGGAGACUGCCAGUGAUAAACUGGAGGAAGGUGGGGAUGACGUCAAGUCAUCAUGGCCCUUACGACCAGGGCUACACACGUGCUACAAUGGCAUAUACAAAGAGAAGCGACCUCGCGAGAGCAAGCGGACCUCAUAAAGUGCGUCGUAGUCCGGAUUGGAGUCUGAC
rnacentral:rRNA from 1 species